rnacentral:rRNA from 1 species
GUGUCAGCCGCCGCGGUAAUACGUAGGGUGCAAGCAUUAAUCGGAUUUAUUGGGCGUAAAGGGCGCGUAGGCGGGAAUGUAAGUCAGACGUGAAAUCCCGGGGCUCAACCCCGGAACAGCAUUUGAAACUGCAUUUCUAGAGGAUAGGCGGAGAAAACGGAAUUCCACAAGUAGCGGUGAAAUGCGUAGAUAUGUGGAAGAACACCUGUGGCGAAAGCGGUUUUCUAGCUUAGACCUGACGCUGAGGCGCGAAAGCAAGGGGAUCAAACAGGAUUAGAUACCCUGGUAGUCCUUGCCGUAAACGAUGUAUACUUGAUGUAACCGGACUCAACCCUGGUUGUGUCGAAGCUAACGCGAUAAGUAUACCGCCUGGGAAUUACGCACGCAAGUGUAAA